rnacentral:lncRNA from 1 species
GGCUGCAAUAAUGAGGGUGAAGAUUAGCUUCUCCAGUCUAGUAUAUCUGAUCUCCGUAUCAUACAAGAUCUAACUGAUAUAGUAGAUCAGUCUAGGACUUUAUCCUGCUUAUGGACUAACACCGUGCUUAUGGCAACUGGUGAACCAUCAGGUAUAAAUAGAGUUCUUUGUCAGAGUUUAAUUUGCUGGGAAGUGGUGCAGAACUGAGAUAAUUUUUCAACUCCAUGAAGAUGCAUUAGUAUUUUUCGGUCUAUUAGAAGUUAUUUGAUUAUUUUAGAGUCUAAAAUAAUGGAAGACAGCAUUCGGCCUAUCUUGAGACAAGCCAAUUUAGUGGUGCCACUCUAUCUAUGGAUGCUGAACCUCCUUUAUAGUCUUUGGUAGGCUCAUCUCUUGUAUGGCUCGGAUC